CGCCUCUUGACCACUAUAAGAGGUCUAGCCUGCCCAGUGACCAAUUUAACGGCCGCGGUACCCUAACCGUGCGAAGGUAGCAUAAUCACUUGUUUCCUAAAUAGAGACUAGCAUCAACGGCAUCACGAAGACUAUACUGUCUUCCCCCUAAAAUCAAUGAAACUAAUCCCCUCGUGAAGAAGCGAGGAUAAAAAUAUAAGACGAGAAGACCCCAUGGAGCUUUAAACGAACUUUAAUUGCUCUUAAUCUUACCAUAAAAAACGAGCACUAAUAAAAGAUAGUUUUCGGUUGGGGUGACCACGGAGUAAAACAAAACCUCCACAGUGAAUGUAAUAAUACUAAUAGAAGAACUACAAUUCUAAUAAUCAAAAAAUUGACACACUUGACCCAAACACUUGAUCAAUGAACCAAGUUACCCUGGGGAUAACAGCGCAAUCCAUUUUAAGAGCCCCUAUCGACAAAUGGGUUUACGACCUCGAUGUUGGAUCAGGGUAUCCUAGUGGUGCAGCCGCUACUAACGGUUCGUUUGUUCAACGAUUAAAACCCU
rnacentral:rRNA from 1 species